GCUGGAGAUGGGCACCAGCAACCCUCCCGACCCCACUGAGGGACAAGGGUGAAAGAAAAUGGAUGGAUGGAGGUUUUCUUAGGUUAAUAGACACCAGCUUAAAAAUAUGAACUGUUAAUGAGUUUUAAGUUGCAUAAGGACAAUUCAGUGAAUUAAAGAACUAUUUCCCACUAGUAAAAAUUAGAAGAAUGCAUGCUGAAGUGUCAAAACUACAAAUUGCAUUAUGCAGUGAGACAAAACUACAAAUUGCAUUAUGCAGAGAAAAAAUGACUAAUCUCAGAAAUCAAUUGUGUCAAUAAAUUCUGCUCUUCCCUGUAAACCUACAGAAGAAUCCGGCUCCUUAAACUGAUUUACUGCCUUAAAACUGCAAGUUGAGACAAUUAAAAUCAAAACUUUAUUGUUAAAUUAUCCACUACCAUCCCCUUUAUCAUCAACAAGUGUACAAGGGAUUAUCAAUGGCUAAAACCUGUUGUCAAUAAUUGUUAUUAAACUUAAAAUAUACUAAAGGUAUUUUCAUUUUCAAGUAAAUUAAGCAUGAGUCAUUGAAGUUUUAACUUAAUUUCUGUAAUUCAUAUAGGUCUGAAAUUUAACACAUAAUGAUAUGAAUAGUAUUCAACUGAAACUGGGGAAAACCCUGUCUUGUUUUGGUUUUAGCUCUAACAUGAUAAAAUUUUCAGCAAAAAGAAAAAAUCCCCCUGAGUAAUACUAAUAAGAAACAAAACUGAUGAACAUCAAAGUCAAGUUACAGAUAAACAGGCUGAAAAUUGACCUUCAAAACAUAAACUUUUUAGAAGUUGUACUAGAUUUAUAUUUUAUGCUAUAUGGUGCACAAAUUAAAGCUAGGUCACAAUAGCUAAUAUAAGCUAAUUUAUCUAAUCAAACAAAAACAUGUAAGAUUUUAUUACAUAUUUUUAAAUAAAAAAGUGGGAAACAAUUUGAAUUGAAAUAUUAUAUUGCUGGAUGCAUCAUUAAGAAUAUUAAUGCUAAGCUAACUUAGCUUAUCUAAGAUACAUUAGCUUAGAUAAAUUAAUGUAAGCUGACCUGUUAGAAUAUGUCCUCAUCUUAACUCGUCUUUGAGUUAUGUUGUUAUGUGUUCGUGUUUUCUAAUUUACUUUGAAACGCACAGCUGCAAGUUCUGUAUCCUGUCACUUUCUGUUUAUUAUGUAUGUGCAUGUUGUACUGCUGUUGUCCACUGGGGGCAAUGAGAGCGAGUUCUUUUGAGUAGGCAGCACUGUUCUAAAAACGAAGAAGUUCAACCUAAGUGAACACAGCUGACGAAAAGAAGUGUUCUUUGUGAACAUAAGUACUGAACAAGAAAACGCAACAUGACCUAGCUUAGAUUAUUAAGUAAACUCGUUUACAUUUACUAGUUCUUAAAAGCCGAUUUUUAACUUUUUUUUUAUUUGACAAGCUUGUUUUGUAUAAAUUAUUAGCAUGAAGUUCUUAUGCUACAGUGACUUUCUCUUGAUCACAGUUUAUAUCAAAGAGAUGGGAGUUGUUUUUUAGUAUGUUUGUGGUCAUUUGACUGUCUGGUAUUCUUCAGGUCUGGCAGCACACCAGGUGUAAGCCAUCUAACAGACUUUAAAAACCUUUUUUUUUUUGGCUAGCCUCCAAAAACUCUUAGAUGUGGUCAGCUGGGCAAAGCAAAGCUCAUUAGACUGGAUAUUGCUCCAUGUCACUUUUUAUCACCCUUUCUCUUGUACCUUGGUCCCUCCUCUGCAUGCUUGAGCUUUUUUGGAAAACACUCACCCAGGGCACUUUUGCCUGUUCUGAGAAGACUCAAGCGAACACACACUGUGCCAGGUCAGGCUUUUUGAUUCUGACUUCUGCUCGCUUUCAUGUUGGGAUCUGGAGGUGCAGGAAAGAGGUUAAACAAACACAAAGCUCAUUAAAAUAAACCUCUGUCAACUCCCACUCCUUUUUCUUUUUUCACUGCUGUACAGGAAUGUGCUGUCAGGCGUCACAGCCCACGCAUAGCUGCUGCAGGACUGCAGGUAAUGAAUGAACUGGGGAUGUCCACCCAGUAAGCAGAGCACAAAGACGGCUGCUAAAGGUUGGCUGACUUUCCCACCACUGUGACACCUCAUCAGAUAAUAUGCUGUUGUAUUUACUGACAUGCCUUUUAAGAAAUGUUCAUAUGUAUUUCGGUCCUGACCUUUUUCUUUACCACCCUUAAGUAGAUGUCUUAGUAAAUCUUAAAAAGUUUGUGGAAAGUUGUGACAUAUGUAAAUAUCUUGGUUAUGACCUAAGUCAACUUGUUUACGUCUAAUUGGAAAUAUUCACCUAUUCUUCUAUGCAACAUAGCUGAAGUCAAUCAUAUUGGCUGAAGAAAGAAAUGUUCACAUCUAGACAUAAAUUCUCGAUUAGACUGAACUUUGACUGGGCCAUUCGUUAACUCUUGCUGUUUAUUGUUGUUGUCCUGUUGUCUCAAAUCUUUUGCAAAUUCUAACAUUUCUUUCUUCCAGAACUGGCCUAUCCCUGCUGAAGAAAAGCAUCCCCACAUCAUGAUGCUGCCACCACCUUCUGUGACUGUGUUCAGAGCGGGUGUUUUACUUCAGGGAAACGUCUGACUUCAUCGUUAGUGUUCACGCCCUCGGCCUUUUGAUGUGACUGCUCUGUUUGUUCACCAGCGCCAGCGGUCUGCUUUCUCCCAUUCAGCUAUCGGCUUGCUUUUAAACCCCCACCCCGCCACACACACACGCACACGCACACACGCCUACACACACAUGCACACACAUGCUGGCUGGGCUCCACCAGUGGCAUUGUUUGCAUUUAACACCAAGAGGUGAGAGGCGUUCAACCUCGUUUGCACAUCACGUGUCAGAGCCGCUGCCUGCAGGGCUCAGAUCAGUCACAUGUGAGCUGUCAUAACUCCCCGAAGCAAAGAAACUGCAGAUUAAAAGGAGUCCCGACUUGUUGCAGGAAAGGCCUGAUGAGUGGCAGUAAGACUUAUGGAGGAAUCCAUAAAAAUUGACUGCAAGAAAACCGCCCCUCUAAAUACUCCUCCUGAUUGCUGGCUGAUGAGCUCCAGCUGCAACUAAUCCGGCUGUCACACCCAGGAGAGAGAGAGAGAGAAGGUUAAGAUGGUGGAGAUGACGGCUGAGUUCAGAGAACAUCCACGCUGCUUUCUCAUCCUAAACAACUCUGAGGAUUUUUUCUGGUUCCUGUGGUCCUCACACAUUGACACUAUUCAGAAGAAAUCCCUGCAGAGACCGGUACAAGAAGUUCAACCUACAGAAGGAGCUGCUGGACUUCUUUUUCCUGUGCACAUCCAUCACUGAGUGGUUUGGCUCAUCCACCAAACAGGACAGAACCAGAGCACAUAACUGGGAGAGGAUCAUCAGGACUGGUAUCCCCUUAAUGGUAUCUAAAGGUGGUGGACUGGAAUACCUUCUAAAAUAUAUGCACGAAUCUUUGUUUUUUGUGAAAUGUAAGUUUUAAGUCUUGCAAUAAAAUCUUCCACCACCUAA